rnacentral:rRNA from 1 species
GAUAAACGCUGGCGGCGUGCCUAAUACAUGCAAGUCGAGCGAACGGACGAGAAGCUUGCUUCUCUGAUGUUAGCGGCGGACGGGUGAGUAACACGUGGAUAACCUACCUAUAAGACUGGGAUAACUUCGGGAAACCGGAGCUAAUACCGGAUAAUAUUUUGAACCGCAUGGUUCAAAAGUGAAAGAUGGUCUUGCUGUCACUUAUAGAUGGAUCCGCGCUGCAUUAGCUAGUUGGUAAGGUAACGGCUUACCAAGGCAACGAUGCAUAGCCGACCUGAGAGGGUGAUCGGCCACACUGGAACUGAGACACGGUCCAGACUCCUACGGGAGGCAGCAGUAGGGAAUCUUCCGCAAUGGGCGAAAGCCUGACGGAGCAACGCCGCGUGAGUGAUGAAGGUCUUCGGAUCGUAAAACUCUGUUAUUAGGGAAGAACAUAUGUGUAAGUAACUGUGCACAUCUUGACGGUACCUAAUCAGAAAGCCACGGCUAACUACGUG